GCAGACGUGUACAAUUUUUCAAAUCAAAAAUCCAGUAAGAACAUUGUUACCUCAUUGUUAGCGAAUGGGAAGAAUAUAAAAAACAAAGGUAGAGAGAAUAAGAGGAAGAAAAAAUAUUUAAUUCAACAUAACCUACUUACUACUACAGACGCAAAGAAAAACUUGCAAUUGAAGCAAAAAUGCCUACAAGUUGAUAUGGAUUAUGUAGAAUCAAUGAAAGUGGCGGAAGAUAGCAGUGAAAAGGAUUUAUAUAGCAGCAGCAGCAAUGAGAACUCAGAAUGUUAGGUCCAUUCGUUCUUCCUCUUGCUUCAGACCAACCAGGGACAACGACAGCGGGUUUCUUAUUAAACCAAUAAAAAAACUACUUCUUUUUUUUCGAAAUCCGCUAUAAAUUCAGGGCGUGUUUGUUAUUUAGUUAUGUUUGUU